UUGAACGCUGGCGGCAUGCCUUACACAUGCAAGUCGAACGGCAGCGGGGGAGCAAUCCUGGCGGCGAGUGGCGAACGGGUGAGUAAUACAUCGGAACGUGCCCAAUAGUGGGGGAUAACGCAGCGAAAGCUGUGCUAAUACCGCAUAAGAUCUACGGAUGAAAGCAGGGGAUCGCAAGACCUUGCGCGAAUGGAGCGGCCGAUGGCAGAUUAGGUAGUUGGUGAGGUAAAGGCUCACCAAGCCUUCGAUCUGUAGCUG
rnacentral:rRNA from 1 species